UACAGAGGGUGCGAGCGUUGCCUCGGAAUCACUGGGCGUAAAGGGCGCGUAGGUGGUGGCUUAAGCGUGCGGUGAAAGCUCGGGGCUCAACUCCGAGUCGGCCGUGCGAACUGGGCUCACUGGAGCAUAGUAGAGGCAGGUGGAAUUCCGGGUGUAGCGGUGGAAUGCGUAGAGAUCCGGAAGAACACCGGUGGCGAAGGCGGCCUGCUGGGCUAUGGCUGACACUGAGGCGCGACAGCGUGGGGAGCAAACAGG
rnacentral:rRNA from 1 species